rnacentral:rRNA from 1 species
UACGGAAGGCAGCAGUGGGGAAUAUUGCACAAUGGGCGCAAGCCUGAUGCAGCCAUGCCGCGUGUAUGAAGAAGGCCUUCGGGUUGUAAAGUACUUUCAGCGGGGAGGAAGGCGGUGAAGUUAAUAGCUUCACCGAUUGACGUUACCCGCAGAAGAAGCACCGGCUAACUCCGUGCCAGCAGCCGCGGUAAUACGGAGGGUGCAAGCGUUAAUCGGAAUUACUGGGCGUAAAGCGCACGCAGGCGGUCUGUCAAGUCGGAUGUGAAAUCCCCGGGCUUAACCUGGGAACUGCAUUCGAAACUGGCAGGCUAGAGUCUUGUAGAGGGGGUAGAAGUUCCAGGUGUAGCGGUGAAAUGCGUAGAGAUCUGGAGGAAUACCGGUGGCGAAGGCGGCCCCUGGGACAAAGACUGACGCUCAGGUGCGAAAGCGUGGGGAGCAAACAGGAUUAGGAUACC